GAUGAACGCUGGCGGCGUGCCUAACACAUGCAAGUCGAGCGAAGCACUUACUUUAGAUUUCUUCGGAAUGACGAAGUUUGUGACUGAGCGGCGGACGGGUGAGUAACGCGUGGGCAACCUGCCCUGUACAGGGGGAUAACAGUUAGAAAUGACUGCCAAUACCGCAUAAGCCCACAGCUUCGCAUGAAGCAGUGGGAAAAACUCCGGUGGUACAGGAUGGGCCCGCGUCUGAUUAGCUAGUUGGUAAGGUAACGGCUUACCAAGGCGACGAUCAGUAGCCGACCUGAGAGGGUGACCGGCCACAUUGGGACUGAGGCACGGCCCAAACUCCUACGGGAGGCAGCAGUGGGGAAUAUUGCACAAUGGGGGAAACCCUGAUGCAGCGACGCCGCGUGAGCGAUGAAGUAUUUCGGUAUGUAAAGCUCUAUCAGCAGGGAAGAAAGUGACGGUACCUGACUAAGAAGCCCCGGCUAACUACGUG
rnacentral:rRNA from 1 species